AGAAUCAUUCACAAUGGGGGAAACCCUGAUGGUGCGACGCCGCGUGGGGGAUGAAGGGCUUCGGUUCGUAAACCCCUGUCAUCUGUGAGCAAUGGUUUCCAGAUAACACCUGAAAGCUUGAUAGUAGCAGAAGAGGAAGGGACGGCUAACUCCGUGCCAGCAGCCGCGGUAAUACGGAGGUCCCAAGCGUUGUUCGGAUUCACUGGGCGUAAAGGGUGCGUAGGCGGUACAGAAAGUUUGAUGUGAAAGCUCCAGGCUCAACCUGGAAAUUGCAUUGGAUACUACUGAACUAGAGGAUCGGAGAGGAGACUGGAAUUCUUGGUGUAGCAGUGAAAUGCGUAGAUAUCAAGAGGAACACCAGUGGCGAAGGCGAGUCUCUGGACGAUUCCUGACGCUGAGGCACGAAGGCCAGGGGAGCAAA
rnacentral:rRNA from 1 species